rnacentral:rRNA from 1 species
UACGGAGGGUGCAAGCGUUAUCCGGAUUCACUGGGUUUAAAGGGUGCGUAGGCGGGCAGGUAAGUCAGUGGUGAAAUCUCCGGGCUUAACCCGGAAACUGCCGUUGAUACUAUCUGUCUUGAAUGCCGUGGAGGUAAGCGGAAUAUGUCAUGUAGCGGUGAAAUGCUUAGAUAUGACAUAGAACACCAAUUGCGAAGGCAGCUUGCUACAAGGUUAUUGACGCUGAUGCACGAAAGCGUGGGGAUCAAACAGG